rnacentral:rRNA from 1 species
CAUCCAAGGAAGGCAGCAGGCGCGCAAAUUACCCAAUCCCGAUACGGGGAGGUAGUGACAAUAAAUAACAAUACAGGGCUUUUCAGUCUUGUAAUUGGAAUGAGUACAAUUUAAAUCUCUUAACGAGGAACAAUUGGAGGGCAAGUCUGGUGCCAGCAGCCGCGGUAAUUCCAGCUCCAAUAGCGUAUAUUAAAGUUGUUGCAGUUAAAAAGCUCGUAGUUGAACCUUGAGCCUGGCUGGCCGGUCCGCCUCACCGCGUGCACUGGUCCGGCCGGGUUUUUCCUUCUGGGGAGCCGCAUGCCCUUCACUGGGUGUGUCGGGGAACCAGGACUUUUACUUUGAAAAAAUUAGAGUGUUCAAAGCAGGCCUAUGCUCGAAUACAUUAGCAUGGAAUAAUAGAAUAGGACGUGUGGUUCUAUUUUGUUGGUUUCUAGGACCGCCGUAAUGAUUAAUAGGGAUAGUCGGGGGCAUCAGUAUUCAAUUGUCAGAGGUGAAAUUCUUGGAUUUAUUGAAGACUAACUACUGCGAAAGCAUUUGCCAAGGAUGUUUUCAUUAAUCAGUGAACGAAAGUUAGGGGAUCGAAGACGAUCAGAUACCGUCGUAGUCUUAACCAUAAACUAUGCCGACUAGGGAUCGGGCGAUGUUAUCUUUUUGACUCGCUCGGCACCUUACGAGAAAUCAAA